rnacentral:rRNA from 1 species
AANCAUGCAGUCNANGGUAGCAGGAAGGAAGNUUGCUUUCUUUGCUGACGAGUGGCGGACGGGUGAGUAAUNCUUGGGAAUCUGGCUUAUGGAGGGGGAUAACUGCGGGAAACUGCAGCUAAUACCGCGUAANGUCUUUGGACUAAAGGGGGCGUUUGCUCUUGCCAUAAGAUGAGCCCAAGUGGGAUUAGGUAGUUGGUGGGGUAAUGGCUCACCAAGCCGUCGAUCUCUAGCUGGUCUGAGAGGAUGACCAGCCACACCGGGACUGAGACACGGCCCGGACUCCUACGGGAGGCAGCAGUGGGGAAUAUUGCGCAAUGGGGGGAACCCUGACGCAGCCAUGCCGCGUGAAUGAAGAAGGCCUUCGGGUUGUAAAGUUCUUUCGGUGAUGAGGAAGGCAGUUUGGUUAAUAGCCAAGCUGAUUGACGUUAGUCACAGAAGAAGCACCGGCUAACUCCGUGCCAGCAGCCGCGGUAAUACGGAGGGUGCGAGCGUUAAUCGGAAUAACUGGGCGUAAAGGGCACGCAGGCGGAUUUUUAAGUGAGGUGUGAAAGCCCCGGGCUUAACCUGGGAAUUGCAUUUCAGACUGGGAAUCUAGAGUACUUUAGGGAGGGGUAGAAUUCCACGUGUAGCGGUGAAAUGCGUAGAGAUGUGGAGGAAUACCGAAGGCGAAGGCAGCCCCUUGGGAAUGUACUGACGCUCAUGUGCGAAAGCGUGGGGAGCAAACAGGAUUAGAUACCCUGGUAGUCCACGCUGUAAACGCUGUCGAUUUGGGGGUUGGGGUUUAACUCUGNCGCCCGUAGCUAACGUGAUAAAUCGACCGCCUGGGGAGUACGGCCGCAAGGUUAAAACUCAAAUGAAUUGACGGGGGCCCGCACAAGCGGUGGAGCAUGUGGUUUAAUUCGAUGCAACGCGAAGAACCUUACCUACUCUUGACAUCCAGAGAAUCCUGUAGAGAUACGGGAGUGCCUUCGGGAGCUUUGAGACAGGUGCUGCAUGGCUGUCGUCAGCUCGUGUUGUGAAAUGUUGGGUUAAGUCCCGCAACGAGCGCAACCCUUAUCCUUUGUUGCCAGCGAUACGGUCGGGAA